GAUUAAACAUCAAAUUAUACCCAAACCAGCAAGAACCUCCCAUAGUUGAGCUUGUGCUAUGCCCCUAGCUGCGCUUCCUGUCCAACAACUACUUCCAAUUCCUUUUUGGCUGAAAGGAAAAUCUAUUCUACUUCCUGUAGGUAAUCAUCUAUUUCAGUUGGAGUGAGAAUUCUGAAUACUUUGUCUGUUCCAAUAAUUCCAAUCUCAAUGUUUUUGCUGGAGAUCUGUCCUUCAAAU
rnacentral:misc_RNA from 1 species